rnacentral:rRNA from 1 species
CCUGGCUCCGAUUGAACGCUGGCGGCAGGCCUAACACAUGCAAGUCGAACGGUAACAGGAAACAGCUUGCUGUUUCGCUGACGAGUGGCGGACGGGUGAGUAAUGUCUGGGAAACUGCCUGAUGGAGGGGGAUAACUACUGGAAACGGUAGCUAAUACCGCAUAACGUCGCAAGACCAAAGAGGGGGACCCUCGGGCCUCUUGCCAUCGGAUGUGCCCAGAUGGGAUUAGCUUGUUGGUGGGGUAACGGCUCACCAAGGCGACGAUCCCUAGCUGGUCUGAGAGGAUGACCAGCCACACUGGAACUGAGACACGGUCCAGACUCCUACGGGAGGCAGCAGUGGGGAAUAUUGCACAAUGGGCGCAAGCCUGAUGCAGCCAUGCCGCGUGUAUGAAGAAGGCCUUCGGGUUGUAAAGUACUUUCAGCGGGGAGGAAGGGAGUAAAGUUAAUACCUUUGCUCAUUGACGUUACCCGCAGAAGAAGCACCGGCUAACUCCGUGCCAGCAGCCGCGGUAAUACGGAGGGUGCAAGCGUUAAUCGGAAUUACUGGGCGUAAAGCGCACGCAGGCGGUUUGUUAAGUCAGAUGUGAAAUCCCCGGGCUCAACCUGGGAACUGCAUCUGAUACUGGCAAGCUUGAGUCUCGUAGAGGGGGGUAGAAUUCCAGGUGUAGCGGUGAAAUGCGUAGAGAUCUGGAGGAAUACCGGUGGCGAAGGCGGCCCCCUGGACGAAGACUGACGCUCAGGUGCGAAAGCGUGGGGAGCAAACAGGAUUAGAUACCCUGGUAGUCCACGCCGUAAACGAUGUCGACUUGGAGGUUGUGCCCUUGAGGCGUGGCUUCCGGAGCUAACGCGUUAAGUCGACCGCCUGGGGAGUACGGCCGCAAGGUUAAAACUCAAAUGAAUUGACGGGGGCCCGCACAAGCGGUGGAGCAUGUGGUUUAAUUCGAUGCAACGCGAAGAACCUUACCUGGUCUUGACAUCCACGGAAGUUUUCAGAGAUGAGAAUGUGCCUUCGGGAACCGUGAGACAGGUGCUGCAUGGCUGUCGUCAGCUCGUGUUGUGAAAUGUUGGGUUAAGUCCCGCAACGAGCGCAACCCUUAUCCUUUGUUGCCAGCGGUCCGGCCGGGAACUCAAAGGAGACUGCCAGUGAUAAACUGGAGGAAGGUGGGGAUGACGUCAAGUCAUCAUGGCCCUUACGACCAGGGCUACACACGUGCUACAAUGGCGCAUACAAAGAGAAGCGACCUCGCGAGAGCAAGCGGACCUCAUAAAGUGCGUCGUAGUCCGGAUUGGAGUCUGCAACUCGACUCCAUGAAGUCGGAAUCGCUAGUAAUCGUGGAUCAGAAUGCCACGGUGAAUACGUUCCCGGGCCUUGUACACACCGCCC